UCUUCUUCUUGAUCUCGGGUCGAAUUAGGUGAGUGUCAGAAAGAGGAAUCAACGAUGGUUUCCUCCAUGAUGGUCUCCUCGGCUGCCACCUUCACCCGGGCUUCCCCGGCUCAAUCCAGCAUGGUGGCGCCGUUCACCGGCCUCAAGUCCGCCUCCGCCUUCCCUGUCACCAGGAAGCCCAACGCCGACCUCUCCCACCUCCCCAGCAAUGGCGGCCGAGUUCAGUGCAUGAAGGUACGCACGUACAAGGCUCGUGGCUCGAGUCGGAAACCUCUGUUACCGAGAUAGCCGUUACGAAUCAUAUACUGUGGAUGUAAUUCUUACGACAGGUGUGGCCGAUCGAGGGCAUGAAGAAGUUUGAGACCCUGUCCUACCUUCCGACACUGAAGGACGAGGAGUUGCUGAAGCAGAUCGAGUACCUUCUCCGCUCCAAAUGGAUUCCCUGCUUGGAGUUCUGCCCCGUAAGUAACUUCACCUGCCCCAUGGUGGGCAUCCGGUAACCUUGAUAUCCAGCAUGCAUACCGGGGAUUGAAGUCGAUCGUAAUGACCAUAACAGAAAGGGUUCGUGUGGCGCGAGAACCACCGGUCGCCGGGGUACUACGACGGGCGGUACUGGACCAUGUGGAAGCUGCCCAUGUUCGGGUGCACCGACGCUGUGCAGGUGGCGAAGGAGGUGGAGGAGUGCAAGAAGGAGUACCCCCACGCCUUCAUCCGCAUCAUCGGCUUCGACAACAACCGCCAGGUGCAGUGCAUCAGUUUCAUCGCCUACAAGCCGACCGGCUACUAGACGAUUCGGAUCCGGCUCUUCGGAUUUGCUUUCUUUGGUUCAGUGUUGGAUGUUUCCCCUUCUCUCGUUGUCUCCUCUACGCAACCGCCGACAGUGCAGCAGCGCACUGAGGCCGUCUAUGUUUUGUUUCCCCAAGAACGCGGAGCUUGUAUGUUAAGAAGUUUAUUAUGGACGUUCGCUUAUUUAUAAUAAAGGCUACCCAAUGUGUUUGAUUUUACCUGUAUCCGUCUGCUGUGGGUGGAAGAAUCCCGUACCGUAGUCGGCAGACGUGUGGUGUGGGGGUUGAAGCUUUGCUCUGGCCCAACCUAAUGUUAUCUGGGCUCUGUAUUGGGCCGAUCUCGGCCUACUUGGACGAUCAACCGCUGGGUCAACGGUCAAACACCGCGCGCAUGUCUUCUUCUUCUCCCUCCCCUACUAAUUUAAUGGAAAUAGAUAUAUGGACCCCCAAAAAAAAAAAAAAAAAAAUGUCAUCAUCUCGC
rnacentral:lncRNA from 1 species